UAGCUAGAGGUGGAAAUACCAAGUUUGAGAGAAAAGAAAGGUUUGAAAUCAUCGAUUCUAAGAUUAGUAAAGAUCGAUCCAAGUACACGUACGGAUCACAGAAAGAUCAAUCAAUUGAGAACUAGAUUAAUGCAGGAAAUUUUGUUUGAGAAAAGGUUCAUCUUCCUUGGUGCCCGGGCAUCAUUUACCCUGUACCGCCAUUGGAUGGUAAAAGGGUUGAAUCUUUGGGAACAAUCACAAAGUAUGAUGAUUUGCAUUUUGUCGAGAAGGAAGAUGGUAACUACAGUCAAGUGUUGACUUCUACAUGUGGAGGGGCACCUAAUUUUGUUGUGCAUCCUCGAAAUGAUGAGAGUGCUUUGGUGCAUUUCAGUGAAAGAGCUUGAACGGAAACUCGGUGAUCGCCGGACUCUAAAAAUCCAAAUCGGUGGGGUUCGAGCUCUUAAAAAUCUAAUAUUUUACACUACAAACAACAAAUUUUCAGAAAUUAACACUACACGCGAAAAUCGACGGGGCUGGGGCACCCCCGGGCCGCCAUUAUCCUCCGCCCAUGGGUGCAGACAAAGGUUUAUAUGAAUUGUAACUUCUUUGUUAGUUUUAUUUAAUGGUGUUAUUUGGGUCUGUGUUUUGUGAAUCUUGUUAAACAUGUCGUAUUAUUAGUGUUAUUACUUAUAUUUACCAACGUUAAA